UACGAAGGGGGCUAGCGUUGCUCGGAAUUACUGGGCGUAAAGCGCACGUAGGCGGGUCGUUAAGUCAGGGGUGAAAUCCCGGAGCUCAACUCCGGAACUGCCUUUGAUACUGGCGAUCUUGAGAUCGGAAGAGGUGAGUGGAAUUCCCAGUGUAGAGGUGAAAUUCGUAGAUAUUGGGAAGAACACCAGUGGCGAAGGCGGCUCACUGUCCGAUACUGACGCUGAGGUGCGAAAAGCGUGGGGAGCAACAGG
rnacentral:rRNA from 1 species